GGUCUUGGUGUGUGCGUGCGUCGCAGUAGGGACUUGGGACUGCGCUCGUGGCUACUGGUGCUAGCUAGUUUGCACUUACUGCCUGGGCUGGGUCGUCGGCUAGCUGCGUGUUGACUCUCGCCUGCUUGCUUUUUCCGCCUUAGGAUUUUUGUGUCCACAGGGCUUUGGGUUCCCUGCAUGGAAAUAGUUGCGCUUGAGCCAUGGCAUGCAGUAGUGGUGGACUUCUGGAAAACACUUAGGGCCUGUUCAGUGAUUUUGUCCGUACAGUGCUAGGGCCGUACAGAAAGUGGAUAUUUUCGUUUUGACAGCAUAAACCUUCAUUAUUGCCGCCUUUCUCUAUAUGAAUAUUAUUAAUCUGCUUGGUGUUCUGGCAUUACUUUUAUUACUUACAAGCGGUUUUUAUCAUAAAUGAUUAUCAUACAAUUUCAGUGGACAUGUAGC
rnacentral:sRNA from 1 species